rnacentral:lncRNA from 1 species
GUCUGCGCCGAGGCAGCACCGAACGCCGCGAGGGCGAGGACAGCAACGAGCAUGGAGUUCAUGUUUGCAACUAAGUAAGACGUCUAAGAGAACAGAAAAUUAUGCAACUUCACGCCUUUUUUUGGGUCAACGUCUCGAAACUGCAUGCACGCCGUACGGGCUGUUCCGGGGCGCCAGCUUGCAAGAAAUUUGCUGUAACCUAAACUCAAAGCUGUAUUAUUGUAGGUCUCAUCCGCUCAAGAAUUUGUGGUGGCACAUCGCAAAGACGGGCACGCAAGCGGCACACGCGGCGCGGUCGCUGGCCACGCGUGGCGGGCGGGUCGCCUCCAGUCGCCAUCCAGCCAGCAAUCACGACCAGGGGCAUGCAGGGCACGUCGCAGCUUGCAGC